rnacentral:rRNA from 1 species
UGGCUCAGAUUGAACGCUGGCGGCAGGCCUAACACAUGCAAGUCGAACGGUAGCACAGAGAGCUUGCUCUUGGGUGACGAGUGGCGGACGGGUGAGUAAUGUCUGGGAAACUGCCCGAUGGAGGGGGAUAACUACUGGAAACGGUAGCUAAUACCGCAUAACGUCGCAAGACCAAAGUGGGGGACCUUCGGGCCUCACACCAUCGGAUGUGCCCAGAUGGGAUUAGCUAGUAGGUGGGGUAAUGGCUCACCUAGGCGACGAUCCCUAGCUGGUCUGAGAGGAUGACCAGCCACACUGGAACUGAGACACGGUCCAGACUCCUACGGGAGGCAGCAGUGGGGAAUAUUGCACAAUGGGCGCAAGCCUGAUGCAGCCAUGCCGCGUGUAUGAAGAAGGCCUUCGGGUUGUAAAGUACUUUCAGCGAGGAGGAAGGCRUUGUGGUUAAUAACCGCAGUGAUUGACGUUACUCGCAGAAGAAGCACCGGCUAACUCCGUGCCAGCAGCCGCGGUAAUACGGAGGGUGCAAGCGUUAAUCGGAAUUACUGGGCGUAAAGCGCACGCAGGCGGUCUGUCAAGUCGGAUGUGAAAUCCCCGGGCUCAACCUGGGAACUGCAUUCGAAACUGGCAGGCUAGAGUCUUGUAGAGGGGGGUAGAAUUCCAGGUGUAGCGGUGAAAUGCGUAGAGAUCUGGAGGAAUACCGGUGGCGAAGGCGGCCCCCUGACAAAGACU